rnacentral:rRNA from 1 species
UACGGGGGGGGCAAGCGUUGUUCGGAAUUACUGGGCGUAAAGGGCGCGUAGGCGGUUCGCUAAGUUGGAUGUGAAAACUCUGGGCUCAACCCAGAGCCUGCAUCCAAAACUGGCGGGCUAGAGUUCUGGAGGGGGUAGCGGAAUUCCUGGUGUAGCGGUGAAAUGCGUAGAUAUCAGGAGGAACACCGGUGGCGAAGGCGGCUACCUGGACAGAAACUGACGCUGAGGCGCGAAAGCUAGAGGAGCAAACAGG